GGGGUGAAAGGCCAAUCAAACUCGGAAAUAGCUGGUUCUCCGCGAAAGCUAUUUAGGUAGCGCCUCGGACGAAUACCAUUGGGGGUAGAGCACUGUUUCGGCUAGGGGGUCAUCCCGACUUACCAAACCGAUGCAAACUCCGAAUACCAAUGAGUACUAUCCGGGAGACAGACUGCGGGUGCUAACGUCCGUAGUCAAGAGGAAAACAAUCCAGACCGCCAGCUAAGGCCCCAAAAUUAUAGUUAAGUGGGAAACGAUGUGGGAAGGCUUAGACAGCUAGGAGGUUGGCUUAGAAGCAGCCAUCCUUUAAAGAAAGCGUAACAGCUCACUGGUCUAAACAAGGGUUCCUGCGCCGAAAAUGUAACGGGGCUCAAGCCACGAGCCGAAGCUUCGGAUGCAGUCCUUCGGGGCUGCGUGGUAGCGGAGCGUUCCC
rnacentral:rRNA from 1 species